rnacentral:lncRNA from 1 species
AUGGGGCUGGAGCACGGACUGAGCGGCCUGGUAGCAGAUGGCAGUGGGCAAAGGCCGCGACAAGGCCAGGUAAGAAACGACGAGGGACAAAGGCAAAGGGAGGAAACAGGAGAGGGGACAGCACUGCCCGGGAGUUGUGCAGGGUGGGCCACCCUCAAGGGUCCCGCCGGCCGAUGCCAAGAAGCGAAGGGCCUUGCAAAAGAAAGCGCCCUGCGCCCGACGAGCCGGGCAGAUGCUCGGAAACGUGCGCUGCGCGGGGAGGGCUGCAUUCAGACGGAGCUGGAGCUCAGAGGAAGAUCCCGCACUAGGUGGCCAAGCCACGAUCGCGUUCGCGACGGUCCACACCCUCAGGAUCUCGGGUCCCCGGCUCCGCCCAGCCCAGCCCAGCCCUGCCCUCCCGCCGCCCUGCGUCAUUGGCCGCCCUCAGUGCCUUGCCCAUCAGCCAAUAGGAACCAAGGCCGCCGGCGCUUCCGCUUGGGCGUGGGGUCAAAGGUCACCUAUGAUGGCGGCGCCCAGCAGCAGCUGAGGCGUGAGGAGGGGAAUGGAGCGGGCGGCGGGGCCUCGUCUGGGGCGCCGGCUGAGCUUCGGGCCCGAGGCGGGGGCCAUGGACGGCGGCCGGGCGCUCGCGGAGCCCGCGGGAGGCGGCCGCGCCCGUGGUCCGGUAGGUGGGCGCGCGCGGCCCGCGCCGAGCGCAUGUUCCUGCGACUUCAGCCUCUCUGGCACCGGACGGGCCCCCUUCGUGCGGCCCAGCUCCGGGCCGAGCCCCGCCGGCUCGCGGCCGCGCCGCAGGCCCCCUCCAGUGCCCUCCCGAAUGGAGCCGGAGCCGAAGAUCCGGGCGGCGCCUUCCUCCCUCCGUCCGCCCUCGCCUCCGCCGCUGCUCCCCGGGUCCUCGGUCUCUUGGAGAAGCUGCGAGGCACGGGAUUGCUCCCGGCUGUAGUGACAGUCACGAAGUCCACAGAGUGCAGGACUUCGAUGAACAGGUGUUCCAGACAAAGGAGAGCUGCUUGUGUGGGGCCAGAUCAUCCGAGGGUGCCUGGGAAUCAGUCCCCUGGAAGCCCCGUACUUCUCGUGGAGGGUUACGAUGCCUGGGGAGCUGGGGAUGUGGCGUGUGGCGUGGAUUACAUGGUGACUGGCCAGGUCAUUCCUCUGAAUCUCCCAGCUGAGUGCCCGGUUCUCGAGUGCCUCCCACUGGAGACCGGCCCUGGCCUUGGAACCACUUGA